GUUAGAAUUUGUCGGAAUUUA
rnacentral:siRNA from 1 species